rnacentral:rRNA from 1 species
GACGAACGCUGGCGGCGCGCUUAACACAUGCAAGUCGAGCGAGAUCCAGGCCUUCGGGCUUGGGGACAGCGGCGAACGGGUGAGUAACACGUGGGUAAUCAACCCUCGACACUGGGAUAGCCCGGGGAAACCCGGAUUAAUACCGGAUGGCCCUUUGGAUCCUCGGAUCUGAAGGAAAAGGUAGCUUCGGCCUCCGGUCGAGGACGAGCCCGCGGCGGAUUAGCUUGUUGGUGAGGUAACGGCUCACCAAGGCGACGAUCCGGAGCUGGUCUGAGAGGACGAUCAGCCACACUGGGACUGAGAAACGGCCCAGACUCCUACGGGAGGCAGGAGUGGGGAAUCUUGGGCUAAUGCGGGAAACCGUGACGCAGCGACGCCGCGUGAGGGAAGAAGGCCUUCGGGUUGUAAACCUCUUUCAGGAGGGACGAAGCCACUCGGGUGAAUAGCCCAGAGGGUGACGGUACCUCCAGAAGAAGCCCCGGCUAACUUCGUGCCAGCCGCCGCGGUAAUAC